CGUGAGGAUACCACCCGUUCCCAUCCCGAACACGGUCGUAAAGACUCAUUGCGGUAAAAAUACUUGGUGGGUGACUGCCUGGGAAGAUAACUAGUUGC
rnacentral:rRNA from 1 species